AGAGUUUGAUCCUGGCUCAGGAUAAACGCUGGCGGCGUGCUUAACACAUGCAAGUCGAACGAACCUUCGGGUUAGUGGCGGACGGGUGAGUAACGCGUGAGAAUCUGCCCUCAGGAGGGGGACAACAGUUGGAAACGACUGCUAAUACCCCAUAUGCCGCGAGGUGAAAUGAAUUUCGCCUGAGGAUGAGCUCGCGUCUGAUUAGCUAGUUGGUGUAGGUAAUGGCUCACCAAGGCAUCGAUCAGUAGCUGGUCUGAGAGGAUGAUCAGCCACACUGGGACUGAGACACGGCCCAGACUCCUACGGGAGGCAGCAGUGGGGAAUUUUCCGCAAUGGGCGAAAGCCUGACGGAGCAACGCCGCGUGAGGGAUGAAGGCCUCUGGGCUGUAAACCUCUUUUAUCAAGGAAGAAGAUCUGACGGUACUUGAUGAAUAAGCCACGGCUAAUUCCGUGCCAGCAGCCGCGGUAAUACGGGAGUGGCAAGCGUUAUCCGGAAUUAUUGGGCGUAAAGCGUCCGCAGGCGGCCCUUCAAGUCUGCUGUUAAAAAGUGGAGCUUAACUCCAUCAUGGCAGUGGAAACUGUUGGGCUUGAGUGUGGUAGGGGCAGAGGGAAUUCCCGGUGUAGCGGUGAAAUGCGUAGAUAUCGGGAAGAACACCAGUGGCGAAGGCGCUCUGCUGGGCCAUCACUGACGCUCAUGGACGAAAGCCAGGGGAGCGAAAGGGAUUAGAUACCCCUGUAGUCCUGGCCGUAAACGAUGAACACUAGGUGUCGGGGGAAUCGACCCCCUCGGUGUCGUAGCCAACGCGUUAAGUGUUCCGCCUGGGGAGUACGCACGCAAGUGUGAAACUCAAAGGAAUUGACGGGGGCCCGCACAAGCGGUGGAGUAUGUGGUUUAAUUCGAUGCAACGCGAAGAACCUUACCAGGGUUUGACAUCCUGCGAAUCUCUUGGAAACGAGAGAGUGCCUUCGGGAACGCAGUGACAGGUGGUGCAUGGCUGUCGUCAGCUCGUGUCGUGAGAUGUUGGGUUAAGUCCCGCAACGAGCGCAACCCACGUCUUUAGUUGCCAGCAUUUAGUUGGGCACUCUAGAGAGACCGCCGGUGAUAAACCGGAGGAAGGUGUGGAUGACGUCAAGUCAUCAUGCCCCUUACAUCCUGGGCUACACACGUACUACAAUGCUACGGACAAAGGGCAGCAAGUUCGCGAGGACAAGCAAAUCCCAUAAACCGUGGCUCAGUUCAGAUCGUAGGCUGCAACUCGCCUACGUGAAGGAGGAAUCGCUAGUAAUCGCAGGUCAGCAUACUGCGGUGAAUACGUUCCCGGGCCUUGUACACACCGCCCGUCACACCAUGGAAGUUGGCCACGCCCGAAGCCGUUACUCCAACCCUUGUGGAGGAGGACGUCGAAGGUGGGGCUGAUGACUGGGGUGAAGUCGUAACAAGGUAACC
rnacentral:rRNA from 1 species